UUUGACCGUUUAAACAUGGCAGCCGAUGUUAACUUGAAGGUGGUAAGGAGACAAGAGAGAAGUCUUUCUUUCUCUUUACUCCUUUUCUCCCCCAGCCCUUGCCAAAUCCUAUCUCAAAGUUCCAUUUGCUGAGAUUAGGCAAGAGACACACCAAGGACAUACCGGGGAACAUUCCAAACAGAAUCACUGGUGUCAACGCGAGCUUUGAUAGUCUCACUUGGGCCAUCACAACCAAUUCCAGAACCCACAGAAUACAUGAAAUAAGUACGUGGUGAUACUGUGCCUCCCAUGGAACAAGUGAGAAGAUAUCAAGUCCUUUAAAAGGAAAGUGAAUGCUUGUCUUUCCUAAUACCAGAACCAUUAGUGCACAGCCAGAAAUAAUGCCUCCCUUCUGCUUAUGUCAGGCACUCUCCCUUGGAAAAUCAGAGAACCAUAUUCAAUAAAGCUUUCGUAUCAAUUGCAUGGCUUUCUCAGAAACUCUAGGAACAGAGGGUAACUACAUCCUUAUUGAGCCCAUGAACUCUCAGUCCAUGAAGAACUAUGUUGGACUCUCAGAGUGUAUGAGGAGUCUCCCCUACGUGAUUUAACAUGGACAAACCCCGGAUUGUAUUGAACAGGUUGCACAUCUGGCCAAAGAGUACAUGUUUCUUAGGAAUGAUAAGCCGUACUACCUAUUAAAGUGAGUGUAAAGACACAGAUAAAAUUCUUAUGCCACUUUAUGAGCCAAACAGGGCGGUGAGUAGGGCAAUGAGGCAAAUGGUCAGGGAUGGGGAGGAACAUGGCACUCACUGAGGGAAAUGGCAGAAGACGUGAAGGAAAUGGUCACUUCUGUGACUCUUAGAAGAGGUAGCUGGCUAAAACUUUGAAAGGCUGAAAUGCAAAUCUUUCUUAUAUCUAGGGCUAGAUUACGUUUCUAGAGGUUAUCCUUCUGCACCCAGGCAGGGUCCCCUAAAACUAUUUUUAGGUCCAGUGUAAACCUCCCCAACCCCUGCUAAUCUUACCUCUUUGCGCCUGACAUCCGUUUCUACCCACUGAAGUAUUAGUGGGAGCUAAAUCAGGACCCAGGAAACUUUAUCAGUCAAUCGCCUCUUAUUAAAUUCUAGGCUUCCUGGUUUAAGGAAGUAUCUGGCUGGCGGUGUUUGUGGAGUGGCGCUAAAAGGACAGACAGUAGGAGAUCUGCCGCCUGUUGCACCCGCGCAGUUCUAGGUGCUAGAGAAAGAGCUGCGAAGGAGACAAAGCCCUUGCUGGAAGGGGCUCCCUUCCUGCUAAGAAAUGCACGCCUUUCUUGCAGUAGCCUGUGAUCUCGGUGCCCCCAUCUGUAAGAUGUUUUCUAGAACUAGAGCGACUUUUUAAUAUAUGCAAUUCACAUGUUUGAAGAGAUAAUGGAGCAUCAGCCUUGAGGACACACAAUCCCAAAUUUGUCCACAGUGGCCCAGGAACAACACCAAGGUCAUUAUCCAAGCACCUGCCUCGGCUACAGUCCAGGGAGAGCUGGUCAUUUGUUCAGUGCAAGAGCCAGUCCCACAGCCUCUGGAAAGUCCCCGCCUGAAGCCUCAUCUUCCAUUUGGGACACUCAUCCUCACGUGAUAAUGUAUCUCCUUGAGACUUCCAGAGCCUUCUGCCUCCAUCAUCAGCUGGAUCUGAUAGUGGAGUCGGCUUUGACUUAGGCUUUGCAUGGUUCUGAAGAGAUAGAGACAGAGCGUAAGCAGGGGAGGGGCAGAGAGAGAGGAAGACAUGCAACACAGCACAGAGCCCAAUGCGGGGCUCGAACUCAAGAACCGUGAGAUCAUGACCUGAGCCGAAAUUGGACGCUCAACUGACUGAACCACCCAGGCACCCUAGGACUUAUUUUUUAACUGCAAGUUUGUACCUUUAAAAAAUUUUUAAAAUUUAAAUCCAAGUUAAUGGUUUCAGGAGUAGAAUUUAGUGAUUCAUCACUUUCAUAUAACACCCAGUGCUCAUCCCCACAAGUGUCCUUCUUAAUCCCCACCACCUAUUUAGCCCAUCCCCCACCCAAUACCUCUCCAGCAACCCUCAGUUUGGUCUCUGUGUUCAAGAGUCUUUCAUGGUUUGCCUCCCUCUCUCUGUUUUUAUCUUAUUUUUCCUUCCCUUCCCCUAUGUUCAUCUGUUUUGUUUCUUAAAUUACACAUAUGAGUAAAAUCAUAUGAUAUUUGUCCUUCUCUAAGUUAUUUUGCUUAGCAUAAUACAUUCUAGUUCCAUCCACAUUGUUACAAAUGGCAAGAUUUCAUUCUUUUCGAUCGCUGAGUGAUAUUCCGUUAUAUAUAUACAUUAUAUAUAUACACACCACAUCUCCUUAAUCCAUUCAUCAGUCAAUAGUCAUUUGGGCUCUUUCCAUAAUUUGACUAUUUUUGAUAGUGCUGCUAUAAACAUUGGGGUGCAUGUGCCCCUUCAAAUCAUCAAUUUUGUAUCCUUUGGAUACAUACCUACUAGUGUCAUUGCUGGGGUUGUAGGAUAGCUCUAUCUUUAAUUUUUUGAGGAACCUCCAUGCAGUUUUCCAGAGUGGCUGCACCAGCUUGCAUUCCCACCAGCAGUGCCAGAGGGUUCCUCUUCCUCUGCAUCCUCGCCAGCAUCUGUUGGUGCCUGAGUUGUUCAUUUUAGCCAUUCUGACAGGUGUGAGGCGGUAUCUCAUUCACCCUUUUGGGAACUAUUAAUUUUAAUUGUGCACACAAUUUGUUGUUUGGAUUUUU